UUUCAGACCAUUGCAGCUUAGUAAUUUGUUUUCAGAACAAAUUCAGAAAAUUGUGGUCCUGUGCAUGUGUGUUCCUUAACCUCCUCACCCUGUUGUAUAAUUCCAUCACUGACUGCCUUUUAAUACACUGCAGUGUGGAGAAUUUCAGUCUGGCUGAAGAUGCUUAAGAAAGCGGAUUACUGGAAUGAGAUGAGGUCAAGAUCUUGGCUAUUGCAAACCUAGCUCCUGUGUUGCUGUAUGCCUAAUAAACUGAAUGAAACAA